GGAGAGGGAGGCGGGGAGAGGCGAGCGGCGGGACUCCGGCACCGCCAGUGCGCGCUGCCAGCCCGGCAGCCAACUUCCCGGCUGGAGUUAGUGUAUAAAGGAUACCAUAUAUGCACACACACAUACCCACACCUCUCCAGCAAGGCGCUCCUCCUCCGCCUCCUCCCUCGACCAACUGCUGGAAUUAAAAUAAAAAGCAAAACAAACACCAAAAAAAAAAAAAUCCAACAACCAACAAUCAACCAACCAACCAACAAACCAACAACCAAAACAACAAACCGAGCGAGAGAGCGAGAGAGCGGGAGAGGGAGAGAAACAAUUCGCGAGAGCGUGACUCUCGCAAGAAGGCUCCGGCGGGACUCUUGUUUCAAAGGGGACAAAGUGCUCCAGCACCAGCACAACUUUGAGAAAUGCAUCAUCACCACCAUCACCACCAUCAUCAUCACAGGAAGUUUUCUUAGGACACCAACAACAAAACUUGCGAAUAAAAGAGCAAAAGGAGAUCGAGGAGCCGAGGAGAGCGAGAAAGACGCGGAGAGAGAAAGAGACAGAGGGGAAAGGAAAAAAAAAAAAAAGGAAAAUAUACCCACACACAAAGCCUUAAAGGAAGAAGAAAAGGAAAAGUUUCGCCCUGAGAGGGGAAGGCUGAGAGGUGGAGAUGUACUCCUAGGGGAGCCGAGGGGAGAAGGCACGGGGGCUUUUUGAUCCCCCCCCCCCCUUCUUUUUCGCUUUUUAGCCUUUGUUUGGUUUCCUCCCUGCGAGCUGCAAACUCGGGCGAGAAGGCGGCG
rnacentral:lncRNA from 1 species